UCGCUGCUUACUGACUGAUUUAUGAUGAGAUUAAGAUCAUGUGCCUGCCUAAACACCCUAUCUACUUACACCAAGAUUCACUUCAAAGUUUUGUAUCACUGAGUUAUGCUUCAAUUUGCCUUCAUUCUCUUCAUUACUUCAAUCUCUUCAAGUAAGUCUCGCCCCGCCCUUUCACUACCUGUGGAGCUGGAGGAAUGGUCUAGAGACACUGCCAUCUAAAAUGUGUGCAAAGAAAAACACGUGGUUGACCUACAUCAUGUGACAGAUGAGACCAGACAAGUCAAAAUAGCUGAAACAGAUGCUUUGCAGCUAAGAAAAGUUGAGGAUAGAGUCCCUUUGGACAUCUCUUGCAGAUCCUUCCUCCGGAGGUAAUAUUCAGAGCUGCUAAUAUUUGCAGUAAUAAAAGUAUAGUGAAGUAACAUAGAAACUGAUAGAGCUUUGCUAUGACAUCAAGACCAUGUAUUUACAGUCUUCAGCUAAUUUUCUGUUCUUUAGCAGCCUCAGUGGAGCCAUUCACCAAUAGCGACUUGUUCUGUUUCUGUUAGCUUCUCGUAUGAACCUCUACCUCCAACCUCCUUGCUGAAAGUUGUUGCUGGUUGGCCUGUCUUGAUAACAAACCACAACUGGAAUGGGUGGAGAGUUACAAGAUACAGUGGUGAGUUCUGAAAACUGAUUAAAGCAGCUUCAGAAAGACCAAGGGCUAGUAAAAAGUAAUAACAACUCAAUAACACUGCAUCAGGAGGAUUGGCUUUAAUAUCAAAUUACAUCUGGUAUCUACAUGUACAUGCAUGAUAAUUGUUGGUCACAGUAAGGCCACUCCAAUUAAAUUCAUAGUUUCUCCUUACACGAGUGGGACUGAUGCGGGUGGGUGGUAAGUUAAUUUUGAUUAAAAUAAUAAAGUUUCGACAAAGUAGCAACUAUACCUGAUUCUUUGUUCAUCAAUAAACUAGAGAGAGGUGAAGAGCCCAGUUAUUUUUCAAAAAGAGUGAAAAGAACCUCGAAAGACUCAUAUGUUUACGUUAUUAUUAUUUUUAAUAUUUUAACCGAAUAAUUAAAAUAUUGGCACGGGCAAGCAGGUCGCAAGGAGAAACUACAAAUUUAGUUGGAGUGGCCUAACAAAUUGUGAAUAUUAGUAGCCAUGAAUAUGUCACAACCUACGGUAUUGCAGUUGUUUAUACUAAUUAUAAUGAGUAAAGUAAUAAACAAAUGUGCCCGCCCACCUUUGUAAUGGGAUACUGUAAUUAUAGUGGCCUUAGCGAGGGAUCUUUAUCGGGGAAAAUAUUCAUUAUUUAUCUUAUUAAUUUAGCAGGUUUUGCCACUAAUAAAAUGGGGGAUAUGAAACGGGAAGGAGUCAUGAGCUUAUUUCCAGGAAAUGGUCAAUAAAAUUAAGAUUGGGCUCCUGUCCAGCAGUAAAAAAUGGAUACAGCUUAAAGCCUGUGACUGUUUCUACAAUUCCUCCCUCCUCAUCCAUGUGUCUCCCUUUCUCUCUGUCCCUCUCUAUCUCACAUUGGAGCUCCAUCAAUAAACCUAGGCCUCCUGUAAUGAAUACAACAUUUCAAACUCCUCUCGUCAAAUUAUAUUUCUGUUAAAUAUAGAUUUAAUUUUGUUUUUAACAAAUAUUGUUUAUCUUACUUAUUUU